CUCUCGGAUUAUUAACAAACAGGAUUAUUUUCAAAGAAUGGGUGAGUCCUAUUUUAAUAAAUUUCCUGUAAAUUAGUAGAGACGUUAAUACAUUUGUUAGAUCUCACAUUGAAACUCUUUUUUAUCACAAACAGAAUAAGUAUUUCCUAUU